UGAGGAAUAUUGGGCAAUGCCCGAAAGGGUGACCCAGCAACGCCGCGUGGAGGAUGAAGGUCGUAAGAUUGUAAACUCCUGUUAGAGGGGAAGAAUAACUAAGUUUGGAGCUUAGUAUGACUGUACCCUCAGAGAAAGCCCCGGCUAACUACGUGCCAGCAGCCGCGGUAAUACGUAGGGGGCAAGCGUUGUCCGGAUUUACUGGGUGUAAAGGGCGCGCAGGCGGAAUUGAAAGUCAGUGGUGAAAUCCUACAGCUUAACUGUAGAACUGCCUUUGAUACUUUCAUUCUUGAGUUCGGGAGAGAGAGACGGAAUUCCAGGUGUAGUGGUGAAAUACGUAGAUAUCUGGAAGAACACCAGUUGCGAAGGCGGUCUCUUGGUCCGAUACUGACGCUGAGGCGCGAAAGCGUGGGGAGCAAACA
rnacentral:rRNA from 1 species